UUUUUUCUAUUUUUUAGUUUUAGGUUUAUGUUUAGUUUAGAUUUAGUUUUAGUUUUAGUUUUAGGUUUAGUUUUAGUUUUAGGUUUAGUUUUAGUUUAGUUUUAAGUUUAGAUUUAGUUUUUUCCUUUUUUUCUUUUUUUUAGUUUUAGGUUUAUGUUUGGUUUAGAUUUAGUUUUAUUUUUAGUUUUAGUUUUAGAUUUAGGUUUAGAUUUAGGUUUAGUUUUAGGUUUAGUUCAGUUUUAGGAAAGAAAAAGAAGAAGAAGAAAAAAACAGGAGAGGAGGAGAAGAAGAAGAGGAAAAAGGAAAGGAAGAAGAAGAAGAGGAGGAGGAGAAGAAAAAAGAAGGAGAGGAAGAAGAAGAAGAAAAAAGAGGAGAGGAG
rnacentral:lncRNA from 1 species